GAAAUGCGAUAAGUAAUGUGAAUUGCAGAAUUCAGUGAAUCAUCGAAUCUUUGAACGCACAUUGCGCCCGCCAGUAUUCUGGCGGGCAUGCCUGUUCGAGCGUCAUUACAACCCUCAGGCCCCCGGGCCUGGCGUUGGGGAUCGGCGGAAGCCCCCUGCGGGCACAACGCCGUCCCCCAAAUACAGUGGCUGUCCCGCCGCAGCUUCCAUUGCGUAGUAGCUAACACCUCGCAACUGGAGAGCGGCGCGGCCACGCCGUAAAACACCCAACUUCUGAAUGUUGACCUCGAAUCAGGUAGGAAUACCCGCUGAACUUAAGC
rnacentral:misc_RNA from 1 species